rnacentral:lncRNA from 1 species
UCCAUAGAAAAUUUUAAAAACUAGAACAUCCUUUCAAUAGAUCCAAGUAAUCCCACCACAGAGUCUGAGCUAUUUAGACUCAAUUAGAAAAGAAUUCACAAACUUCCUUCGGUGUAAAGUGAACCAUCAUGGUUAUGGAGACUUGACUAAAACCCUUACCACUCAUCCCUUUUAUUCAUACUUCACACACUCCACACUUUUUAUUUUCCCUUUCUUCUUCUUUUUUUUUCUUCUUUUUUUUUUUUUUUUUUUUUGGUGUAUAAAUAGUAACAGUAGUGGUUGUGCAAUGUUGGUUCCUUUAAGCUUUCGAUCCAACCGUGUAGCGAGACUUAGGUCAAUGUCUCCCAAACCACUCGGGUUUUAGGGCACUAGGUGUAGAACACCCCUAAGGACUUAUUAACUCAAGCUGAAAAGGCUACGAAACCAACUAACCACCCUGCCUCAUGCCAAAACUCUACCAUUUGUCUCGAGGAUCACUGCUGAUUAGGCAAGACUGGC